rnacentral:rRNA from 1 species
AUGGCCUCAUUGAACAUUCUAAUAUCGUCGCGAAUAAGGGUCACCAAGGCCCUCGGCGUCAUCUCGGUAUUCACAAAAACUCCUCUUUUUGCUCCUUCCAAAGAUGUCAUGCAGUGUAUGCUGAUAGGAAAAAGUUCUUUUGUUUUGCUCCUUCCAAAGAUGCAUGCCAUGCAGUGUAUGCUGAUAAGGCUAUCUCCUCAGCGACCCUGUUUGGUGCACCAUGUUGCAUAUAGAGCUUCUUCCACCAAUCUGAAACUGAAAUUGCCGACUGAGAUGCUCUACGGUCUCCGGUUCUGGGUCACAUAG